rnacentral:rRNA from 1 species
CUGGCGGCGUGCCUAAUACAUGCAAGUCGUACGCUUCUUUUUCCACCGGAGCUUGCUCCACCGGAAAAAGAAGAGUGGCGAACGGGUGAGUAACACGUGGGUAACCUGCCCAUCAGAAGGGGAUAACACUUGGAAACAGGUGCUAAUACCGUAUAACAAUCGAAACCGCAUGGUUUUGAUUUGAAAGGCGCUUUCGGGUGUCGCUGAUGGAUGGACCCGCGGUGCAUUAGCUAGUUGGUGAGGUAACGGCUCACCAAGGCCACGAUGCAUAGCCGACCUGAGAGGGUGAUCGGCCACAUUGGGACUGAGACACGGCCCAAACUCCUACGGGAGGCAGCAGUAGGGAAUCUUCGGCAAUGGACGAAAGUCUGACCGAGCAACGCCGCGUGAGUGAAGAAGGUUUUCGGAUCGUAAAACUCUGUUGUUAGAGAAGAACAAGGAUGAGAGUAACUGUUCAUCCCUUGACGGUAUCUAACCAGAAAGCCACGGCUAACUACGUGCCAGCAGCCGCGGUAAUACGUAGGUGGCAAGCGUUGUCCGGAUUUAUUGGGCGUAAAGCGAGCGCAGGCGGUUUCUUAAGUCUGAUGUGAAAGCCCCCGGCUCAACCGGGGAGGGUCAUUGGAAACUGGGAGACUUGAGUGCAGAAGAGGAGAGUGGAAUUCCAUGUGUAGCGGUGAAAUGCGUAGAUAUAUGGAGGAACACCAGUGGCGAAGGCGGCUCUCUGGUCUGUAACUGACGCUGAGGCUCGAAAGCGUGGGGAGCAAACAGGAUUAGAUACCCUGGUAGUCCACGCCGUAAACGAUGAGUGCUAAGUGUUGGAGGGUUUCCGCCCUUCAGUGCUGCAGCUAACGCAUUAAGCACUCCGCCUGGGGAGUACGACCGCAAGGUUGAAACUCAAAGGAAU